GUAAGCCAAGUAUUUCCUUCUAUUUUGUAGAAGGAAGUAGAGCUAAAGCAGCUGAGGCGAAUUAUUUGACUACAUUUAAACGUACAUUGCAUACAUGUAUUUGGAUUUUGGCAGGUUUCAUGAUUCAUAAGGUUUUUUUUAUUCCCCUGCAGAUUAGUAGCGUGAGUUCUCAAAUUUAUUCAGUAAGCUGUAAAGGUGAGUAUUGUGCUGCAUUUAAGGAUGUCAAAAGAUUACACCUGUCACAGUUGUGGUGCUUUAAUGUAAAUGUUUGGGCACCCAUGGUCAACAUUUCAGUUCAUGUGAACAGUUAAGCAAGUAGAAGAUGAAAUAAUCUCCAAAUGGCUUAAAGUUAUAGAUGACAUUUAAUUUUAAAUAAAAUCAUUUUCAUAUUUUUUUAAACAGAAAAGGAAAAGGCCCACAGUUAAAGUUUGGACACCUUGUAGUUGACCGUAGGGCCCAAACUGCAUGCCAGUUGUAACAUCAGUUGUAACAUUGCAGUUAGUUGUUUGAGUCAUGUGUGGACUUGUUUUUUUGUCCCCUUGUCUCUUGUUCAUGUACACAACAGGAAACUCUACUUUGGCAGCCGAGCACUUCAUGUUAUCUGUGGACCAGGCAAUUGCGAAUGGCCAUAUCACUAUCUUCAGCGACGCACUUAUCCUGAUUUGUGGCUCUUAAUACUGCACGAACAUUUCUUAUCCAGUAGCCCAGGCAGCAACCUUGGAAUUCUUGCAACGAUGCCUUAAGAUUAACCCCGACAAGGGAUCCAAAGUGGAGUGGAACACGUCUAAGAAAAACCUUGCAGUCAAUCCAAAGGUUCUGACGUUGAUCACCAAAAUUGCGGACUAUGAGUGGAGAGCAUAAAAAGUUCUCAUUUUUAUCCUGAGGAUAACCUUAUCUGUUGUUCACUAGCACUGGUCUCUGGUUCAUGGUCAAUGUCAACAGCACGGGUGGCCCGCUUUAUAGGGGAAAAGUGAAAUAUAGGCUG
ensembl:lncRNA